UUUAGACCGGUGAUGUGGUCAUGGAAUCUGCAGCUCCCUGGCUCUCAGACAGAGGUCUAAUGGCUCCUCUAAUAGAAGAAUAUGACAGGCACAUACAACAGAUGGAGAUGCAGCUCAAGUUCUAUCAGAGGCAGAUGACAGACGUCAAAGCAAGCCUGGAGCAGGUGGUUAAGGAAAACGAGCGGU